rnacentral:rRNA from 1 species
CAAAUCAGGUAGGACUACCCGCUGAACUUAAGCAUA